GACGAACGCUGGCGGCGUGCCUAAUACAUGCAAGUCGAGCGGACCGACGGGAGCUUGCUCCCUUAGGUCAGCGGCGGACGGGUGAGUAACACGUGGGUAACCUGCCUGUAAGACUGGGAUAACUCCGGGAAACCGGGGCUAAUACGGGAUGCUUGAUUGAACCGCAUGGUUCAAUCAUAAAAGGUGGCUUUUAGCUACCACUUGCAGAUGGACCCGCGGCGCAUUAGCUAGUUGGUGAGGUAACGGCUCACCAAGGCGACGAUGCGUAGCCGACCUGAGAGGGUGAUCGGCCACACUGGGACUGAGACACGGCCCAGACUCCUACGGGAGGCAGCAGUAGGGAAUCUUCCGCAAUGGACGAAAGUCUGACGGAGCAACGCCGCGUGAGUGAUGAAGGUUUUCGGAUCGUAAAACUCUGUUGUUAGGGAAGAACAAGUACCGUUCGAAUAGGGCGGUACCUUGACGGUACCUAACCAGAAAGCCACGGCUAACUACGUGCCAGCAGCCGCGGUAAUACGUAGGUGGCAAGCGUUGUCCGGAAUUUUUGGGCGUAAAGCGCGCGCAGGCGGUUUCUUAAGUCUGAUGUGAAAGGCCCCGGCUCAACCGGGGAGGGUCAUUGGAAACUGGGGAACUUGAGUGCAGAAGAGGAGAGUGGAAUUCCACGU
rnacentral:rRNA from 1 species